AUCUCUUGGUUCCAGCAUCGAUGAAGAACGCAGCGAAAUGCGAUAAGUAAUGUGAAUUGCAGAAUUCAGUGAAUCAUCGAAUCUUUGAACGCACAUUGCGCCCCUCGGUAUUCCGGGGGGCAUGCCUGUUCGAGCGUCAUUG
rnacentral:rRNA from 1 species